GGCUGCUUGGUCUAACGGUAUGGCACUUGGGAAUUGUACAGUGCUUCAGAACUUAACCAACAUGUGAAGAGGGUUCGACUCCCUCAGCAACCA